rnacentral:tRNA from 2 species
GGAGGGGUGGCAGAGCGGUCAAUUGCACCAGACUGUAAAUUUGGCGUCUUCGGACUACGAAGGUUCAAAUCCUUCCCCCUCCACCA